AUCCUACUCUGAGAAACUUCAUAGAGAAGGCUUUGAUUAGGUCAGUUUUGACUCAUGCCUGUCCUGCCUGGGAGUAUGUGGCAGACACUCACUUUCUGAAAAUACAAUGCCUGCAGAACAGAGUAUGCCACACUACUGGAAAUCGUUAAGAGGUGCACACCAGUCCACAAUUUGCAUUUUCAGCAGAGUCAGAAGGUCUUGGAGAAUUUGAGAGCUGACAGCUUGGAACAGUUAUAACUUAGGAGUGGGAGGGCUGGAGCCUCAUCCCCUGAUCUUAAUACAUCAAGUCGCUGUCAUGUCAGCAACUGCCAGGAUCAUACAGCAAAGCAACAUGAUAAUUUACGGAACCUCCUAGUUUUCAAACAAAACCAAUGGCACAUGUUGGAGGAGUGAAUUUCUCUUGGAGUCUGUGGUUCGUGGACCUCAGGAUUCUGAGAGAGGGUAUUCUACCUCAAGAGUCUUCGUUCAACUUUCAGCCAAGUCAGACACAAAAACACAACCACGUCACUUCGCUAGAGGAAGUGAAAGUUCAAUCCAAAUAAGUGUAACUAUUUGAGUUUCUGUUGUGUUCAGUGAGCUGAAGUGAAUUAAAUAGUUACUGAAGUGCAAAAGUCUUGAAGUGGUGUAUGUGAUUGUAGCAUAAGGAUCUUCCUGCCCUGCCCGAGCUAGGCUUGUAAGACCCCGGGAUAAGAACUCAUCUCUACACAUUACAGAGCAGAACCCAGCUACUCCCUUCUUUCCCUACUUGCAAGACACCUAAUGGUAGUACAGGAACAAACUCUGACCUACCAGCACCAGCAACCACAAUUCUCCUCCCUUCCUGCCAAACUUCUCGCCAUCCACGAGAAGAGGAAGGAGGGCAGUAACUCCAGUAGAGGUGUCCAGACACAAGGUGCAGGUGAACCGCAGCACAGGGAAAGGAAGGGAUACAGGUAAAAGAACUAAUUACCGACAUAAAGACAGGCAAAAUGGCAGUCACGAGUGGAGCACAACGUAAAAGGAGAUGGGAACGGUCACAAGUGGUGCCGAACAUAAGGGUGAGAAGAGUGGAUACAGAAUCUUCCUGGGGGCUAAAGUGCAGCCAGCGCUUAAGGCUGACAACCCUAUUGCCAUCAGUGAGCCGACUGUCUAGAUAAUGUGGGACCCUCAAUGUUAUAGGGAUAGCUUUACCAUUACCAUGCAAGUUUCUUCAUCAGCUGAUAAUUUGUUAACUCUUUGACUGGCGCGAAGGGUAUUUAAAUCCCACCCCUGUGCUGGC